rnacentral:ncRNA from 1 species
ACAACGGCUGUGAUAAAGAGGGUCGGAGUAAGGCUUUUCAGAGAGUCGGCGGCUGGUGAAAGCCGACAGCUGAGUUCCAAGCACCUAUGGCUUUUGAGCCGAAGCCCUGAAAUAACAGUAGGGUCUUCCGUGUUUCUGCGUUAAAGAAUCGAGUGGUAUUCCGAUAAGGAUUACAAGUUGAGUGGUACCGCGGGUUUUCUCGUCUCAAAG